AGGGUUCGAUUCUGGCUCAGGAUGAACGCUGGCGGCGUGCUUAACACAUGCAAGUCGAACGGGAUCCUCAAGCUUGCUUGGGGUGAGAGUGGCGAACGGGUGAGUAAUGCGUGACUGACCUGCCCUGUACUUUGGGAUAGCUCCUGGAAACGGGUGGUAAUACUGAAUGUUCCACAUGAUCGCAUGUGAUUGUGGGAAAGCUUUUUUGCGGUAUGGGAUGGGGUCGCGUCCUAUCAGCUUGACGGUGGGGUGAUGGCCUACCGUGGCUUUGACGGGUAGCCGGCCUGAGAGGGCGACCGGCCACAUUGGGACUGAGAUACGGCCCAGACUCCUACGGGAGGCAGCAGUGGGGAAUAUUGCACAAUGGGCGCAAGCCUGAUGCAGCGACGCCGCGUGAGGGAUGGAGGCCUUCGGGUUGUAAACCUCUUUUACAAGGGAGCAAGGCUUUAUUGUUGAGUGUACUUUGUGAAUAAGCACCGGCUAACUACGUGCCAGCAGCCGCGGUAAUACGUAGGGUGCAAGCGUUAUCCGGAUUUAUUGGGCGUAAAGAGCUCGUAGGCGGUUCGUCGCGUCUGGUGUGAAAGCCCAUCGCUUAACGGUGGGUUUGCGUCGGGUACGGGCGGGCUGGAGUGCGGUAGGGGAGACUGGAAUUCCCGGUGUAACGGUGGAAUGUGUAGAUAUCGGGAGGAACACCAAUGGCGAAGGCAGGUCUCUGGGCCGUUACUGACGCUGAGGAGCGAAAGCGUGGGGAGCGAACAGGAUUAGAUACCCUGGUAGUCCACGCUGUAAACGGUGGAUGCUGGAUGUGGGGCACGUUCCACGUGUUCUGUGUCGGAGCUAACGCGUUAAGCAUCCCGCCUGGGGAGUACGGCCGCAAGGCUAAAACUCAAAGAAAUUGACGGGGGCCCGCACAAGCGGCGGAGCAUGCGGAUUAAUUCGAUGCAACGCGAAGAACCUUACCUGGGCUUGACAUGUUCCCGACGACCUCAGAGCUGGCGUUUCCCUUCGUGGUGUGUUCACAGCUGGUGCAUUGUAGUCCUGAGCGCGCUUCGUCAGUUGUUGGGCUAAGUCCCGCAACGAGCGCAACCCUUGCCUUAUGU
rnacentral:rRNA from 1 species